GCUGGAAUCUCUCGGGGUUACAGCCUUGCUGAAUUAUUCACCCUUGUCUUUUGCGUACUUCUUGUUUCCUUGGUGGGUUCGCCCACCACUAGGACAAACAUAAACCUUUUGUAAUUGCAAUCAGCGUCAGUAACAAAUUAAUAAUUACAACUUUCAACAACGGAGCUUUCGGUUCUGGCUUCGAUAAACAAGGCAGCGGAAUGCGAUAAGUAGUGUGAAUUGCAUUCUGUGAAUCUUAGCUUUGAACGCACAUUGCGCCCUUUGGUAUUCCAAAGGGCAUGCCUGUUCUAGCGUAACUUGUACCCUCAUGCUUUGCUGGGGGUUGGGCGUCUUGUCUCUUGAUUUUCAGGACACUCACCUUAAGGUAAUUGGCAUCCGGCCUACGGGUUUCGGAGCGCAGGACACGUCGCACUCUCUAUCAACAAAGGUCUAGCAUCCAUUAAGCCUUUUUUCAACUUUGGACCUCGGAUCACGUCGGGAUACCCGCUGAACUUAAGCAU
rnacentral:rRNA from 1 species